GAUGAACGCUGGCGGCGUGCUUAACACAUGCAAGUCGAACGGAAAGGCCCAAGCUUGCUUGGGUACUCGAGUGGCGAACGGGUGAGUAACACGUGGGUGAUCUGCCCUGCACUUCGGGAUAAGCCUGGGAAACUGGGUCUAAUACCGGAUAGGACGAUGGUUUGGAUGCCAUUGUGGAAAGUUUUUUCGGUGUGGGAUGAGCUCGCGGCCUAUCAGCUUGUUUGUGGGGUAAUGGCCUACCAAGGCGUCGACGGGUAGCCGGCCUGAGAGGGUGUACGGCCACAUUGGGACUGAGAUACGGCCCAGACUCCUACGGGGGGCAGCAGUGGGGAAUAUUGCACAAUGGGCGCAAGCCUGAUGCAGCGACGCCGCGUGGGGGAUGACGGCCUUCGGGUUGUAAACUCCUUUCGCCAGGGACGAAGCGUUUUUGUGACGGUACCUGGAGAAGAAGCACCGGCUAACUACGUG
rnacentral:rRNA from 1 species